rnacentral:rRNA from 1 species
UGGGGAAUAUUGGACAAUGGGGGCAACCCUGAUCCAGCGAUGCCGCGUGAGUGAAGAAGGCCUUCGGGUCGUAAAGCUCUUUAGGUUGGGAAGAAGGUCAUGUGGUGCAUAGCCACGUGAUUUGACGGUACCGACAGAAUAAGCACCGGCAAACUCUGUGCCAGCAGCCGCGGUAAUACAGAGGGUGCGAGCGUUAAUCGGAGUUACUGGGUGUAAAGGGCGCGUAGGCGGCAUGAUAUGUGUGAUGUGAAAGCCCCGGGCUUAACCUGGGAAGUGCAUUGCAAACUAUCGAGCUAGAGUAUGUGAGAGGGUGGCGGAAUUUCCGGUGUAGCGGUGAAAUGCGUAGAGAUCGGAAGGAACGUCAAUGGCGAAGGCAGCCACCUGGCACAAUACUGACGCUGAGGCGCGAAAGCGUGGGGAGCGAACAG